rnacentral:rRNA from 1 species
AGUGAACGCUGGCGGUAGGCCUAACACAUGCCAGUCGAACGGCGGCACAGUAAGAGCUUGCUCUUACGGGUGGCGAGUGGCGGACGGGUGAGGAAUACAUCGGAAUCUACUUUUUCGUGGGGGAUAACGUAGGGAAACUUACGCUAAUACCGCAUACGACCUACGGGUGAAAGCAAGGGAUCUUCGGACCUUGCGCGAUUGAAUGAGCCGAUGUCGGAUUAGCUAGUUGGCGGGGUAAAGGCCCACCAAGGCGACGAUCCGUAGCUGGUCUGAGAGGAUGAUCAGCCACACUGGAACUGAGACACGGUCCAGACUCCUACGGGAGGCAGCAGUGGGGAAUAUUGGACAAUGGGCGCAAGCCUGAUCCAGCCAUACCGCGUGGGUGAAGAAGGCCUUCGGGUUGUAAAGCCCUUUUGUUGGGAAAGAAAAGCAGCAGGUUAAUACCCCGCUGUUCUGACGGUACCCAAAGAAUAAGCACCGGCUAACUUCGUG